UACAGAGGGUGCGAGCGUUAAUCGGAAUUACUGGGCGUAAAGCGUGCGUAGACGGUAGCGUAAGUCAGAUGUGAAAGCCCCGGGCUCAACCUGGGAACUGCAUUUGAGACUGCUCUGCUCGGGUGCGGAAGAGGGAAGCGGAAUUUCCGGUGUAGCGGUGAAAUGCGUAGAUAUCGGAAGGAACACCAGUGGCGAAGGCGGCUUCCUGGUCCGACACCGACGUUCAGGCACGAAAGCGUGGGGAGCAAACAGG
rnacentral:rRNA from 1 species